CCCACAUGAAAGCAUUAGAGAGCCUGCUUCCAGAAAGAUAUGAUCACGUAAAUGGAAGGACCUUGUGUCCUGAUUUGGAGCCUACACAAGCACUGGAUAACUGCUUCUACUUCACUGAUCCCAUGGAGAGAAAGAACCUUUCUUAUUGGUUGUAAAUCCUGAAUUGGAAUGCAUUCAAAAAGCACUAACCAGUCAGAGUAAUUCUCUUGGCCACUAUUUAGAAAAAAAGGCAGGACUAGGAAAAAUAAAGCUUCUGGCUCUCCCCAUCUUAAACUGUAAUGCUGGAGAAAUUGAGCGAGAUAGAGAUUAGAGAACAAUUUAAUAAUUUAUUUAAUGGAGAGAUUUACUAGGACCAAAUGGAUCCAUGGUUUGGUCCCAGGGCUGAAUGAGACUAUCGUCUCAAAGAAUCCAGCCAUGAAUGUCGCAUACAAGAUUCUUUUAUAGGGUAACAAGAACAGUGACAUAAUGGGGGAGGUACCUGGAUGGGGAUGACCUAAUUGGGGAGGAACCUAGGAUGACAUAAUGGGAGAUACUGGAGAGGCUUCUGAUAUUCUAAUGAUGUCUAAAAUGGAUAAAGACCUUUAUCUCACCAAACUUUAAGAGGGAAUAAGUAUAGCCUAAAGUCUAAAAUAUAAGACCUUUAUCCUAUUAAACAUUAAGAGGGAAUGGUUAUAACCUGAAGCAGAGUAACUGAAUAGGACAAUUAGGGAAACUGGGUCAGUCAUUAAAAGGGAACUGUGGUACAACAAAACUAACAUGUGAUUUGUGAAUUCAGCUCUCUUUUCUUUGCUUCUUUGUAUUGCUUUUUCUUGCUCUCACAUAAAGAAACAUGAAAAAAAGCUAUAACCUAGUGAGCUUCAAAAAAACAAAACAAAACAAACAAACAAAAAAAAAAAACAUUCAGAAUGGACCAGAUGUCUAGGAACCACAAUCCAUGCUUAGUUUUUCUGUCAGCCCACCCAGAACUGAAACCAUGAGAAGCUCAGUAGCAAGACCCUGAAAAAUUAACUAAACAAUCCAGAAGAAACAACAGCUGAGACUAGGAUGUAUCCAGUGGCUCUGCCAUAUUUGACAGAAACUUGAUGGGAUUUGUGCUACAUAAAAACUACUUUAAUUUUUUGAGUCUAUUCUCGCUAGGGACUAAGGUAGUACAGAUGUUAGAGGGAAAUGUUUGUAAUUAUGGAAUUGCUUUAUCUUCACAAUAAAUAUUCUUUUUAAAAAUCUUAUUGACAUUAAUUGGUUAAAUGAAAAUUAACUAAUUACUUGUGGCUAGCAUUGGGAGCAUAUGCUAGAGUGGGAGCUAAAACUGAUAGCAUUAGAGAAAAGCUACCCAUUUUCUAGGCAAGUCUGAUUACAUUGUCCCCUCAGGGUACUCUUGGAAGCCUUGGUGAACUAUGUAGUCAGACUUGCUCUGAAAGAGGGAGUCCAGAGUCUUGCAACAAAUUGCAAUAAAUAAAAGAUAAAGAAGAGAGAAAGGUGGAAUCUUUUUUCUAGAGAAAGUAUCCCUUGUUUAAGAUACAAGGCCAGACCUAGGGACCAGAGCUGUUAAGGAAAAUUGGGGACUCUGGUAAUAAAUUUACAAACUUGGUCCAAAAAUUUAUAACUGAUAUUUAGUUUUUUAAAUAUGAUUUCUGACGGAAGAAAUGUAAUGAGGCAUUCAUUUUUUUAAAAAGUACUCUGUAUUUGAAAAGACAGUCACAUCUCCUGAAAGAAAAGCUAAAGAAGCUCCACUCAUGCACUGAGAGUAGCAAGACGUUCCUGGAGCAUGAUCAUACAGGCAAUUUGGUUUAGGGCAUGAUUAACAGUUGAGCCUACCUUUCUUAUCAGUGCCACCUAGUGACCAUGUUUAUAUGUUACAAAUAUUUAACUUUUGAAGUAUUUUAUCAAUAACUCUCUGUUGUAUUUUUAUUAUAUUUUCAUAUGUUGUUAAAAUUAUAAUGUUUUUGUUC
ensembl:lncRNA